UACGGGGGGAGCAAGCGUUGUUCGGAUUUACUGGGCGUAAAGGGCGCGUAGGCGGCCAGCACAAGUCAGUUGUGAAAUCUCCGAGCUUAACUCGGAAAGGUCAACUGAUACUGUGCGGCUAGAGUGCGGAAGGGGCAACUGGAAUUCUUGGUGUAGCGGUGAAAUGCGCAGAUAUCAGGAGGAACACCGGUGGCGAAGGCGGGUCUCUGGGCAACAACUGACGCUGAGGAGCGAAAGCGUGGGGAGCAAACAGG
rnacentral:rRNA from 1 species